UGGAAGUGAUGAAAUAGAGAUAAUUGGAUGUCUCUUUGAAUGGCGAGUGUGUGAUAAAUAGCAUUUAAAUGGGGUGGGUGGGUGGGGAAGUGAGUGUGUGUGUGUGCAUGUGUGUAUAGAAGAGGCUUUAAAUGGGGGCACUGAUAAUGAAGUGCUGAUUCCGGAGUGCAUCUGAGGCAUGUUGUUAAAUUCUGGGGUCCUGUUUUCCAACAUUGCUGAUGAUUAAAGCCCAAAACAAGCUCACCAAGACAGGCCUAGGCAUCUUAAAUCUCUAACAGGUUCAUUAAUAGAAGUGAUCCUGUGAUCUGAUCCAA